ensembl:lncRNA
AUGAGCCACAGACUGACACGUUUGGUGACACGCGGAAAGAGAGGCAGAAAGGUGCCCAUACUUCUUCUUGAGCGCACAAAAGCUUCGCUUGACUUCCUGGUUGAAAAACGGAGGGAAGUUGGCAUACUUGAGGAGAACCCCUUUCUGUUUGCCAGGCUUAGCACAACAACCAAUCUCCGUGGGUGUGACUGCCUCAGAAGAUAUGCAGAAGAGAGCAAGGCCAAAAACCCAGAACUGCUGAGAUCAACAAGGUUGAGGAAACAUGUUGCUACCUUAUGUCAGCUUCUCGACCUCAGCAAUCAGGAACUUGAGCAAGUUGCUCGUUUUAUGGGACAUGAUAUCCGAGUCCACUGCGAGUAUUAUCGACAGACAGAUAAAACAUUCCAAGUGGCCAAGAUUGGCAAACUUCUGUUUGCGAUGGAGCAUGGAGCAGAGUCACUGAAAGGGAAGAGUCUGCAAACACUGGACUCCGUUAUCAGUGGCAAAAGACACUCAGCCACCCCAACUAAAGAUCUGAAAGGUGUCAAAAAGAGAAGGACGUCAGAUGCAGCAAUUCAACAAGAAGCUCAUGAAGAUGGACUGGUGCACCAGGAGAUAGGUGGAGGACAAAUGGAGAGAACUGCAGAAAAACAUGAUGAUGAUGCUCCAGAAAGGGUAGUGAAGAACCGAGGUAAGAGACCCUGGAAUGACCAGGAGAGGACGGCAGUCAAACGACGCCUUGCCAAGUCAAUCGCCCUUAAAAUGGUUCCAGGAAAGCAGGACUGCCUGAUGUGCAUUGCCAAAGAGUCUCCAGUCCUAAGUGCGCAGAAGUGGAAAGACGUGAAGUAUUUUGUAUACAACGAAAUUCUUAAAGUUAAAAGAAAGCUUGCAUUAUGAAUGAAUUGACUGAGUUUCCUCCCUCUGUUGUAUUUCCGUGUUUUAAAGGGUGAAUUGUCUGUUAGUUUGUUCAUUUGUUAGCACUCUAACAACUUGAACAAUAAUAAUAAAUGCUGGUUUAUUUAUUAUGUCUGCCAUGUUUGUGUUUAAUACCGUGGAACAGGGAUGAUUUUCUGAAAAAAAAAAAAAAAAAAGCAUACACUUCUGAAUUUGACACUCAAUAUAUUAUAAAAGGUGUGCUCAACCUUAAAAGUUCUUAAUCAUAUUUCAUGUUACAACCAAUGCCCAUUUUCCUUGACCGGCAACUUAACAGUUAGUUUAGACUAUUGCUUUAUGCUUAAGUGACAAAAAAAGUCACACAGAACUUAAUAAUACUAGGCUUAAUUGCUUCCAUAAUGUCUUAAAGGGAUACUUCACUUUAAAAUGAAAAUUUUGUCAUCCUUUACUCACCCUCAAGUUAAAUAUCCCUUUAAGAAAAUCAAUAAAACUGGAAAUAAAACAAACACUUCUCCCUGAUGAAAUAACCAAUUUGCACUUUUAUUCAAUAACGUUUUUAAUAAAAAAAACACUGUCCUGUUAAUGGUGACAACCUCAUUGUGCAUUUGUCAUAACAGAUUUACAUUAUUAAAUAUUCAGUAAUGGAAACACCAUCUUAGUUUACCUAUUAAUCAUUAAAAACCCAAGUGCCCGCCGGUCCUCAGUCUGAUGGUGAAAAACUUUUAUGUAAAUCUUGGUGUUUUCCGUAGUCCAAAGGAGUGUAUUGGAUAAGGGCACCAUCUUGUGGGCAGAAAUAGUUUUGUGCAUUUCUAGUUAAUCAGAACUCGUGGUCCUCACUUUGUGGGCAUCCUCACACAGUCCUCACUUAGAAGCAAUUACAAAAGUGUGUGUGUGUGUGUGAGAGAUAGAAAGCUCGUUCCUCUUUGUGUUUAUGCUCUAGGACCAGACCUUGAUUUAAAUGGUUUUUUUUUUUUUAGAUUUAUGCCAGUUUUGUAUAUUUUAUUUGCCAAUUUCUGUAAAAAUGCUCUCUGUUGCAGUCACAUACAUU